AUGGCUUCGCAUGCGUACCCUUCCAAGAGACCAUUCCAGAAGAAGUAUUCAGAACACAAUGGUCGGGCCAAGUGGCAAAAGACAAAACAUGCUCCUUCACAGCAGCCUCAGCUGACAAUACAGCCUGGAGUUCCUCUUAUCCGCAUUCUUUGCCCUACUGAGAAAUGUGGGAAUGUUAUUGGUAAAGGUGGUAGCAUCAUUGCAAAGAUAAGGCAAGAAAACGGAGUGAAAAUCCGGGUUGAUGAAGCAGUCCCUGGUUGCGACGAGAGAGUUAUUGUCAUAACUACCGUUGAGAAGGACAAAGAAGCUAGCCACGAGCAAGGUAAAGAGAAUGAUGGUGGUACUGCUGUUUCUGCUGAUGGCGAGCAUGAGAAGGAGAAAGACCACAGUAAGGAAGAAAAAGAUGAUUCAGAUAAUGCCCACGGCAAGGAAGAACAAGAUGAUGCAGAGAGAGAUGACAGCAAGGAAGAAAAUGAUGAUUCCUCUGUUGCAAAAACUACAAAGUUGGAGCCAGAGAGGGUAAUACCAUCAGCAAUGAACGCUGUUUUGCAUGUCUUUGAUAGGAUUUUUAUAACUGAAAGUGAAAAUGGAACUGGAGAUGCAUCAGGCCAGAAAACUCCUCUUUCUUUCAGAUUGUUGGUGCUAGAUAGCCAAGUAGGUUCGCUUUUGGGAAUUCGAGGUAGUGUGAUUAAGCAAAUGUCCGCUGACAGUGGCUGUGAAAUCCGAGUUUCAAAGGAGAAUCUUCCUUUAUGUGCUUUACUCAAAGAUGAACUUUGUCAGAUUAAUGGAGAGCUUGACUCAGUUAGGAAAGGUCUGAAUGCAGUGGCUCAAGUGCUCUUUACUCACCCCCCUAGGGAAAGUGAUGUAGUUCCUGUUGUUCAUCCUUCUGGUUCAUCAUCACGCACCUUCGAUCGCUCAGAUGGUCUUCCUCCAGGAAUGCCACCUAACUUUCAUCUCCCUUUUCAAGGGCCAUCCCAUGCCAGGGGACCUUUUGAUACCAUUGACCAAAGGCCAAAUGUUGCACCUUUCCCAACUUUUCCUGACCAACGCUCAAACAUUCCUCCCUUUUCUGCUUUUCCUGAUGCUCUCAUGCAUGGCAACGCUUCAGUUCCUCCAGAACCUCUCACCUUCAGGCUAUUAUGUUCAAGUGACAAGGUCGGAAGUAUUAUAGGGAAGGGUGGAAACAGUAUCAAGACUAUUCAGAAAGAUACCGGUUGUGAAAUAAAAAUUCUCGAGACUAUUCCAAAGUCAGAUGAUCACAUCAUAAUCAUCUCUGGACCGGCGCAUCCAGGUGAUGGCAUUUCCCCAGCACAGAAUGCAAUUCUGCAUGUGCAGCGUAAAAUCACGCCACCCACCUCUAACAAGGAGGGUCCUGCAAUAUCUAGGCUGAUUGUUUCACCUAACCAAGUUGGCUGCCUCCUUGGCAAAGGUGGCAGUAUCAUAGCUGAAAUGAGGAAGCUGUCAAAAGCUCAUAUAAUAGUGCUGAGCAAAGACAAGAUCCCAAGGGGUGUACAAGAAAUUGAUGAAGUUGUUCAGAUAACCGGGGAUUCUGAGGCUAUUCAGGAAGCUCUGAUGCAGAUAACUGCUAGGCUACGUAACAAUCUUUUCCGGGACAGAAUGGCUUCAAUGGGUCCCAGUAUGCAGCCACCUUUUGGUUUGCUGGAUCCCCAGUUUGGUGCAUUUGCGGGAAUCCAUGAAUCUACAUCUCCUAGAAUUUAUCCUAAUGCAUCUCAGUUUCAUAAAGAUUUCAUGGGACGACCAUUGGAUGAGAUGCCUGCUCCUUGGACCACAAAGGAUGUUGGUGAUCCGAUGUCAAUAUCUGGCAUUCCUGGAAUGGCACACAGAGGAAUGGGUGGAUUCUCUGGUCCUGUUCAUUCAUCUAGGCCAAUCAUAACUGGAAAUAUCAUGGUUCCAAGAUUAGUUAUACCUGCUCUAUGUGGGCAUGAUGGAGGUUGUUUGAAUCUGAUUCGCGAGUUUUCAGGAGCUAAGAUAACAAUCGAUGAACCGCUAGCUGAUUCCAUCGAUACACCUGUUAUGAUAUCUGGCACACCGGAUCAGAUGCAUGCAGCCCGAAGUCUUGUUCAAGCAUUUGUUCUAAGUGAACCACCUGCCUCAUGA
rnacentral:rRNA from 1 species